rnacentral:lncRNA from 1 species
UAUAAAUAGCAAUGGUUUAAUUAAGCAGAAGUUUGCUUUUUGGGGGUGUGGUUUCUAAUUUCUACUCUCUUCUAUAAAAGGGAAGGUUCUAGUCAUUGACCUCUUAAAGCUUUUUCAUCCAUGGCUACCAUCCAGUCGCAGUCCGAGUCAAAGGUCCAGCCCAAGUUUACGGUGUCCACAUCAGCAGCGAACGAGAGCGUGAACGGCGGGGUGCCGGCGAUGGGAAGAGGACAGUGCCUGUGCUCUCCAACGACACAUGAAGGGUCGUUCCGGUGCCGUUUUCACCGGUCAUCAGCAACAGGAACAGGAUAUUCCUUCAGCACUCCACGGUCCAAGUCCAUGGCUGCUGAUAAGGAUGGCGUUUCUGUGUAACCGCUGUAAUACUACUUACUUAACAUUCUGUGUUUAUCAUCAAUCCUUUCUGUAUGUUAUUCCAUCACUUCAACCUCUGAUACUCUGCGUUAUUACUGUUUUGUAAAUCUACUCUCUCUUCCUAAUUAUAAUCAACAAGGAAAGGAUUCUGUUUGAUUUCAACACAUACAAUCACUUUUCAUAAUCCUUCCAAAUCUGUUCAUUUGUAUGUAUACUUCAAAGCAGCAAUGGUCCAUAAUAAUACAUGAAAAAUGGAUCGAAGUAGGUAAUUCUAAGAAAACAGAGCACGGUAUUCUAGUACGAUUAUGUUAGG